CAGAGGGGCAAGCGUUGUUCGGAAUUACUGGGCGUAAAGGGCGCGUAGGCGGCCUUCUAAGUCGAACGUGAAAUCCCCGGGCUCAACCCGGGAACUGCGUCCGAUACUGGAAGGCUUGAAUCCGGGAGAGGGAUGCGGAAUUCCAGGUGUAGCGGUGAAAUGCGUAGAUAUCUGGAGGAACACCGGUGGCGAAGGCGGCAUCCUGGACCGGCAUUGACGCUGAGGCGCGAAAGCCAGGGGAGCAAACGGGAUUAGAUACCCCGGUAGUCCUGGCCCUAAACGAUGAAUGCUUGGUGUGGCGGGUAUCGAUCCCUGCCGUGCCGAAGCUAACGCAUUAAGCAUUCCGCCUGGGGAGUACGGUCGCAAGGCUG
rnacentral:rRNA from 1 species